UACGUAGGGGGCUAGCGUUGUCCGGAAUCAUUGGGCGUAAAGCGCGCGUAGGCGGCCAGAUAAGUCCGGUGUGAAAGUCACAGGCUCAACCUGUGAAUGCCGCUGGAAACUGUCUGGCUUGAGUCCGGAAGAGGAAAGUGGAAUUCCUGGUGUAGCGGUGAAAUGCGCAGAUAUCAGGAAGAACACCCGUGGCGAAGGCGGCUUUCUGGGACGGUACUGACGCUGAGACGCGAAAGCGUGGGGAGCGAACAGG
rnacentral:rRNA from 1 species